rnacentral:rRNA from 1 species
AGAGUUUGAUCCUGGCUCAGAACGUACGCUGGCGGCACGCCUAACACAUGCAAGUCGAACGAAGUAGCAAUACUUAGUGGCAGACGGGUGAGUAACAUGUAGGUAUCUGCCCUUUGGCCUGGAAUAACACGAGGAAACUUGUGCUAAUACCGGAUAAGUCUUUACGGAGAAAGCUUUAUGCACCAUUGGAUGAGCCUGCACUUGAUUAGUUUGUUGGUGGGGUAAUGGCCUACCAAGACUGUGAUCAAUAGCUGAUUUGAGAGGAUGAUCAGCCACAUUGGGACUGAGACACGGCCCAAACUCCUACGGGAGGCAGCAGUGGGGAAUCUUGCACAAUGGAGGAAACUCUGAUGUAGCGAUGCCGCGUGAGUGAAGAAGGCCCUUGGGUUGUAAAGCUCUUUCGUCGGGGAAGAAAAUGACUGUACCCGAAUAAGAAGGUCCGGCUAACUUCGUGCCAGCAGCCGCGGUAAUACGAAGGGACCUAGCGUAGUUCGGAAUUACUGGGCUUAAAGAGUUCGUAGGUGGUUGAAAAAGUUGGUGGUGAAAUCCCAGAGCUUAACUCUGGAACUGCCAUCAAAACUUUUCAGCUAGAGUUUGAUAGAGGAAAGCAGAAUUUCUAGUGUAGAGUGAAAUUCGUAGAUAUUAGAAAGAAUACCAAUUGCGAAGGCAGCUUUCUGGAUCAUUACUGACACUGAGGAACGAAAGCAUGGGUAGCGAAGAGGAUUAGAUACCCUCGUAGUCCAUGCCGUAAACGAUGUGUGUUAGACGUUGGAAAUUUAUUUUCAGUGUCGCAGCGAAAG